rnacentral:rRNA from 1 species
GAUGAACGCUGGCGGCGUGCUUAACACAUGCAAGUCGAACGAUGAAGCCCAGCUUGCUGGGUGGAUUAGUGGCGAACGGGUGAGUAACACGUGAGUAACCUGCCCUUAACUCUGGGAUAAGCCUGGGAAACUGGGUCUAAUACCGGAUAGGAGCGCCUACCGCAUGGUGGGUGUUGGAAAGAUUUAUCGGUUUUGGAUGGACUCGCGGCCUAUCAGCUUGUUGGUGAGGUAAUGGCUCACCAAGGCAACGACGGGUAGCCGGCCUGAGAGGGUGACCGGCCACACUGGGACUGAGACACGGCCCAGACUCCUACGGGAGGCAGCAGUGGGGAAUAUCGCACAAUGGGCGAAAGCCUGAUGCAGCGACGCCGCGUGAGGGAUGACGGCCUUCGGGUUGUAAACCUCUUUCAGUAGGGAAGAAGCGAAAGUGACGGUACCUGCAGAAGAAGCACCGGCUAACUACGUG